rnacentral:rRNA from 1 species
UCCAGACUCCUACGGGAGGCAGCAGUGAGGAAUAUUGGUCAAUGGCCGAGAGGCUGAACCAGCCAAGUCGCGUGAGGGAAGACGGCCCUACGGGUUGUAAACCUCUUUUGUCGGGGAGCAAAGCGAACCACGUGUGGUUCAUUGAGAGUACCCGAAGAAAAAGCAUCGGCUAACUCCGUGCCAGCAGCCGCGGUAAUACGGAGGAUGCGAGCGUUAUCCGGAUUUAUUGGGUUUAAAGGGUGCGCAGGCGGUUUUGUGAGGACGGGGGUCACGGCCGGGGCCCCCCCCCCGCCCCGCCGUUGAAACUGGCAGUCUCGAGUUGGAGAGAAGUAUGCGGAAUGCGCGGUGUAGCGGUGAAAUGCAUAGAUAUCGCGCAGAACUCCGAUUGCGAAGGCAGCAUGCCGGCUCCACACUGACGCUGAGGCACGAAAGCGUGGGUAUCGAACAGGAUUAGAUACCCUCGUAG